AAUAUAUUGGCUCUCUCAGCCUGCCGGACCCCUGGCAUGAAUCAAGGACAAAUAGCUCAGGAGGUUACCCGUCGUAUUUAAAACGGUUCGUACUUGGAAUAUCCAGCCAGUGGCUCAUGCUGUGGAAAAAUGAAGAUUCCUCUUGUAUUUGGAUUGGAAUCUGCCAAAGUGUUUAUUUCAGACAGACUUAAAUGGCGGAAGCUAAUACAGUGACUGACCACCGGGAAAUCUAUACCAUACGGACAGUGGUGAAGAUCCCUUCAUACCAAGCUCGUGGGGUUCUAGACAGUGGGUUACUCAUCCCCAGGCAAGUGCGUUCAUUUUGCAGCUGUAGGGUGCACUGCUGCGGGUGCACCCCCCACAUGCCUUGUUUGGCGCGUGCCCCCCCCCCCCACCAGGUGCUGUGAGCUGGGGCUGCUAAGCAUUCCCUGCUGCCCCCUUCUCUGCAGAAUUGCCCUCAGCCCAAAGGGAGCCACCCCACCCAGGAAGUUACACCCAUCCCUGGUGGGAACCAGCAGCCAAUGACCAGUUGACACAGAGGUAUGAAGGCCUGGUUCCCUGACUACAAAAUGAGACCAACUCCGCGAUGCAAUUCACACUGCAGAGCUCCCUGUGGGAUCAUUCGGAAGCUCCUCUCCAGCUGAGACCCUGCCUUGGCUUAGCUCCUUCUCCUGCCCUGGCCUCCCUCCCUCCCUUUCUCCCAAGUGUACUCCUUUAGUAAACUGUGUGCUUUCCAAUCCCUGUCUCAAACUCUGCUUCUAGGGAGUAUGAUCAAAGACAGUAAGAACAUCUGAGUUCCCAUAACAUUCCAAUGCAUGUAAUUUAUAAUCUGAUACAUAUAACAAACGUGUUUUACAAACUUUGUAGAUGUUAUAGACUCAAGGUAAAGGUUAUGUGUAUAUUUUUAAAGAUUUUUAGGGGCGCCUGGGUGGCUCAGUCGUUAAGCAUCUGCCUUUGGCUCAGGUCAUGAUCCCAGGGUCCUGGGAUCGAGCCCCGCAUCGGGCUCCCUGCUCAGAGGGGGGGGACCUGCUUCUCCCUCUCCCACUUCCCCUGCUUGUGUUCCCUCUCUCGCUGUGUCUCUCUCUGUCAAAUAAAUAAAUAACAUCUUUUUUAAAAGAUGUUGUUUAUUUUGAAGAUUUUUAUUUUUAAGUAAUCUCUACACCCAGCAUGAGGCUUGAACUCACAACCUCAAGAUCAAGAGUCACAUGCUCCACCGACUGAGCCAGCCAGGCGCCCCUCAAAGUUAUAUUUUUGAAAGUAUUCACAUGUGUAUAAUAAAUUGUUAGCUAUAUUGGAGAGGUUUUUGUUUUUUGUUUUUUUUUAAGACUAUUUAUUUAGAGACUGAGAGUGCGUGCGUGCACCCGAGUGUGGGUAGGGGCAGUGGGAGAGAGAGGGAAGCAGGCUCCCUCAGCUGAGGGCGGAACCCUACUUGGGGCUCGAUCCCAUGACCCUGAGAUCAUGACCUGAGUUGAAAUCAAGAGCCAGAGGCUUAACCGACUGAGCCACCCGGGUACCCCCUAUGUUGGAGAGUUUUUUACCCUGAAAUAUUGAAACUGUAGUGAUCAGGAUUAUGGGAGAUUAGAUUUUUAACCUAAGAUAUUUGACCCACCUGGAUGAUAUUUAUUGUUCCUUGUUUUUCUGAGGUUUCUGGGGGUAUAAAUACUCUCUAAUCCCCUUUCCACAUUUUACUGAGAAGAGUAAUAGAAGCCCAGGAUUUUGAAUUCCCCAUGUACUUUUGUCAGUGAGACAGAGGUAAAUACUGCCUAAUGUGUUACCUGCAGUCUCGUAGUUUCAGUCAGAGCUGAAUGAGAGAGAGUAUUUCCACAGCAGCAUGAGUUGCUUCGGUCCCAGCUUGUACCCCGCCCCAGCUGGAGAAUAAUACUUCCCUCCCCCUCACUGACUGUUUUCCAAAGCAAUACCGCUCGGACUCCAGCCUUGCAUUUUCCUUUUCAUUCCAAGCUUGGCCUCCGAGGAUUUUGCUUAUUCUCCACUUCACAUCUGAAGAAGCAGAGAUGCCGUGACUUGCGGACAAGAAGGGCCCUUUUCAUGCUCGGAACGGCAGGUUCCAAAGACUCACACAAUGAGCAAGAGGCAGCUCUUGGCAAGAUGAGACGGAGAGGACGUACACUAGCCUGAAGAGGAGACAGCAAAGCAUCCACAGAAGAUCUACCUUUAAGCCAUGCAGUUUCCUACAGCCUGAGAUAAUGCCACUAUUCCUUGUAAAAAUGUGAACACACUCGCCCUCUCUUCAAAAGGAGGGAACUAAAGUCACAGCAGUGUCUGACUCUGGCUCUGAGUUCAGGAUUUCGACUGGUGGACAUUCUUUCUCAAGCCUCUCCUUCAGCAAGUGAGAAAUUAGUGGUAAACCCAGAAGAUUACCACUGACAACAGAAGUUCAGAGGCGGUUCCGAGAGAGCGGGUGAGCGCACGAGUGAAUUCGAGAUCUCAGCAGGAUAGCCGUUCUGCCACAUGGCUUACUGGUGGGUGCUCUGCGGAGGCGGUCAGCGAACCUGGCUUGGCCUGUGGCAAGAGGAGUGAGCAGGAGAGCCGUGGCAUAACUCGUCUCUGCCUUAGAGAACCCAGUGUGUGCUCGCUGGAGUCUAAAACAGAAAUAACUUCAUACAGCUUGCAUGGGGACAGAAUUCUUCCUGUCAGACGAGUAGCCAGCCAACUCUGAGUCUCUGGAGGGAUGCAGAGAGGACAUUUCCCACAAGUCUGACCCCUGGGAAGCUCGAGGCGGGCACAGGGGAGGCCCAGGAUCCGGAGCGCUGGUGGGGGUGUGGUUGGAGCAGAGCCCUUGGUGCCAGGCGAGCAUCUGGACCGCACAGGACUUCUUCCAACUGGAACAAAGAAGCACGUGGGGGUAAACGUCAGGCUGUCAGGCUGAUAUUCCAGCUGCAGAACGGAAGCUCAAGUGAUGGCUGUCUGAAAACUCUUCAAAACCGUGUAAACCCCGGGGUUCUCAAGAAGCGUGGUGUAGAAGUGGGCGUCUGAGUAGCAUCUGUAUGGACUGGCAGGCAGAAUGGGCAACGGCAGGUUUCUAACUGGUGCUCAAGUGAGGAAACCUGAGGAGGCUGCGGGCCCCUCCAGCUGGGCCAUUCGCUUUGGGCUCUGGCCAGGCCGAGCGAGGGCUGAUGAGAAAGGCUGCAGGCCCGCUGAGCACGGAGAAGUCUGAGUGUUCGGUGGAUGCACAGGAUCCCAGGAGGCCGAGACCAGUACCUCCCUCAUCCCUUGUCACAUCAGACGCACCAUCCAGGGAUGGUGGACAGCAGAAGCGUUGCUCAGGACCCGGCCGAGUGUGCAAGCCCAUCCAAGUGACUGCGCCAGGGAAGGAAGCCUUGCGAACCCUCUUCAUUAGUUUUCUCGGCACAGAAAUUGAGCGCCCAUGGUGACACUUCCUCUCAACACUCCUUACUGGACACUGAAGAGACCGUUUCUGCCCAUUCUUGAAUUGAAACAAGAAAGGUCGGCAAGAAUGAUUUCUCUAUGGAGUGUGAUUUUAAGCAGAGGAUUCAUGAACGUGUGUUCUCCUCCCUUGUAGAGAGGCAGCCUUUCUCCAGGAGGGGACUAAGAUCUUACUGCAAAAACAAUAGAUAUUGGUCUCAAUCUAUUCAUUGCUUCUGCUUUUCAUAAGAAAAAGGAAAAGAUUUUUAUAUGGAAGCCUAGGGGAGGGCCUCAGGCACCAUGCAGAAAAUUUUCCAUGACAGGAGCUAAUAUCCCUAAGCACCUACUACUGCCAAACAAUGUGCGAAGUACUUCAUGAAAUUAUUUCACAGAGACCCUUCCCAUUUUAAAGAUAAGAAAAUUGAGGGUUUUAGCUGGGAAAACCUGGAGGAGCGAGCAGGGAAAGCAUAUGUCUGGGUCAUGGGAAGUUUGGGGAUGAGAAGCCCUGCCCUUCCUGUUGUCUGAAGAGAAGAGGAUCAGCAGCGUCCAUUUUGGAGGAUGAAAACAGCUCCGGGCCUCGGUUCCGGCCAAAUUUGGUCAACAAAGGACACAAAGAGACUUGUGAGCCUCUGCGUAAAUCCAGAUUCUUGGGUGCACGUGACAGAACUCAAACUCAAGCUGGCUUAAUCUUAAUGAGAAGAAAUCUACGGGCUCAUCCAACUGCGGGCUGGCAUGGGCUGACUCGUGGCUGGGAUGAGGCAUUGAACUAACACUCACUUGCUCUCUUUUUUGCUCUCCCCUGUGUGUCAGCCUCAUUCUCUCUUACUACAGUCAGGCUUCCUACACUCUGCUGGGCUUUUAUGAUCCUAGCUCAGCGAGACUAGCAGAAAACGCAAGUUCUCUCCGUGAAUAAUAAAUAUGCAUGGUAUGCACUGAAUAGAACUGUAGAGAAAGGCUCGGAUGAGUCCUGCUGGUGUAGCGUGCCCGCCAGUGUGCCAAGUACCAUCACCAUUGUCGGGGUGCUCGGGUGUGAUGAUGAGGAAGCCCGUGGCCAGUGCAGGGCAGCAAGUUGUGACUGACGGUUCUACGUGAACUUUAUAGACUGGGGAUAAAAGCGUCCCCCAAAGGAAGUCAGGGAGGCAGAGCAGACAAAAUACCAGAUGUCCACGAGGCCCUGGACCAGAUGGAGACUUGGAGAGAUGCCAUCUUCACAUGGAUCCUUUUGUGCCCCUGAUGACUCCAAACAUGACAAACGACCACCUUUAUUCGUUCGCUAGGGCUGCCAUAACAAAUUACUACAGACCAGGGAGCUUAGAAGCAACAGAAGUUUCUCUCUUGCAGUCUGGAGGCUGGAGGUCCGAGCUCAGGGUGCAUCAUGGUGGGGUUCUGGUGAGAGCCCUCCUGCUGGCUUGCACAGGGCUGGCUGCCUUCUUGCUGUGUGCCCCCGGGGCCCUUCCUCAGUGCCUGCCGAGAGCGCGGGCGUCUCUUCUUGUAAGGACCCCAGUUGCACUGGGUCAGGGCUCUACCCUUCGGCCCUCAUUUAAUCCCCCUUCAAGGCCUCAUACAUACGCUUCAACAUAUGCAUUUUGAGGCAAUACAGUUCAGUCCACAGGGUCCUGGGAUCUAGAUACUUUUAGAAGAUGCAGUUUCCCUCUGUUCUACACAAAUCUCCAUGUUCUGAAAAACAUUUCUGGCUUGGAAAUGAUAGUCAGAAAUAUUUGAAAUUCUAGGUAAAUUGGGAUUCAAAAGGAGAGAAGUUACCUCGCCUCUAGAUUCUAAGCCCCGGGAGGGCAGGGACUGUAUUUCCGUAUGGUUCUGAGAAACACGAAUCGAGGAAAGGUGGCCUUCUUUUUUUUUUUUUAAUAUUUUAUUCAUUUACUUAUUUGACGGAGCCUGACAUGGGGCUCCAUCCCGGGACCCAGGGAUCACGACCUGAGCCAAAGGCAGACUCUUCACCGACUGAGCCACCCAGGCGCCCCAACAAAAGCAUUUUUUUAACAAAAUAAAAUAUAGCAUAUGUACACAUGCACACAGGAUCAGUUACUUUAAAAAUAGCCUCAGAAACACUCUCAUUUUCAUAUGUUUUAGGGUUUUCUUCCUGAAAUCUAGGGCAGCUUUUACAGUUUUGUUCAGGGGGUUGUCUGUUUAUUCUUUUUUUCUGGGUUUUGGAUUUCAGACCCAGUCACAGUUUUGUAGGUGCAGAGAAUUUUUUCCUUCUUCUAGGCUUUUUGGCUGGCCAAAUAAUUAAAUUGACAUAAGGUGGAUUAACAGGAGAAAAACUAAUUUAAUUUUAUACAUUAAAGGAGCCCCAUAAAAUUAUGAGACUCAAAGAAGUGACCCCAGCAGGCAGUUUUUAUACCUUUUAGAUGGAGCAGCAAUACAUUUGUAAAGAAUUAGCAAGACAAAGGGGUUUGGGUUUGGGGUAGUAAAUUGGUGAAGAAAGAACAAGUUUUGUUUAUAUUGACUUCUCAGCCCUAAAUUCCCUCUUCGUGAUAAGGAUCCCUUCUACCCUCCUGGUACCCCUUUCACAUGGGAGAUUUAUCUCCUGCUUUCAGGGGCACAAAGGAGGAUCAGAAUGUUCUUCUCCCACUGACUGUCAAAUAAUGUUAAUUCAAAAUAACGUGAAAAUGAAUAAAAGGAAACCUCAUCUAAAAUGGAAUCAGGAGGCCAGAAGGCGGAGCCCUCGUGCACUACCACUUGGACACCAAUUCCAGACCCCAACAGGAAGCAUUGUCCAUACGGAGCUCGACAGAAGAUGACUCACCUUGCAAGCUGAGACCGCUUUCCUACUCCAGCAGGGGGAAGGGAGAGUCCCUUCCUUGCCCAGCAAUUCAGUGAGAAACCAUCUCCACCCUGAACCCUUGCCUGCCUCCAAUGGGCUUGCACUCAAAACAACCCCUCUCACCUUCCUCCUUUUUCUCUAUAACUGAUGUUCCUCUCCUUUUCUUGUUGGGCUUGCCUAUGGCUUUUGCUAUAACUUGCCUCUCCUGAAUUGCAAUUCCUCCGCUGUCCCCGAAUAAACCCAUUUUGCGGGUAAAAUUACUGGCUGUUUUACUUUUAAGGUCUACAAAUCAAUACGCCAAAGUGGGGGACUUCCAUUUGCUGCUGGGUUAAAGCCUCUGUAAGUAUUUCCCGAAAAUUUUACGAAUACACAGGACCAGCUGUGACUGCUUCUGGAUAGCGUCCAUUCUUAUGGAGUGCCGUGGUGGCUUUGCUCUGGAGAGGGCUGCCUGGGGACCAGGUUGUUUAUCGGCUCUGUGGCUCUGGGCUGGUUAAUCUUUCUUAGCCUCGUAAAGUGGAAGGAUAUACGGAAAGUGCAUAUAGCACGGUGCCCGUCCAGAGUAGAUGCUCUGAAGUAAUCACUAUUAUAACUAUCCCUCCCUUUUGUAAAUUGCUCAAUGUUCCAAAUGCAGGGGUCUACACCUCAAAUGUCUGCAGGAGCUAGAAAGGUAAUUUACAUGUCUAAAGCUGACCUGUGUGGGACGAUGGGUAUGGAAGAAACCAUGAUGAACUGGGGGGAGUGCAUGAUCUGCUAAAAGAAAGUCGAAUUUUAUAACAAAAAAAGGAAAGGGAAGGGAAGGAGGAAGGGAGGGAGGAAAGAAGCUAACAUUGUACUUGUCUGCUACCGGGAUUUGGCCCUGGAGCUACCAGUUUGUAACCCUUGCUCCGAUUUAAAGGAGCUGAGUGAACUACAUUAGGGAAACAAAGCCCAGGUUUUAGGAUUUGUCUUAGGAUUUUCUCAGUUUUCAACUGUUAGUGACAGAGG